CCCUUAGACGUUCUGGGCCGCACGCGCGCUACACUGACCAGUGCAACAAGCAUCCGUCCUUGGCCGACAGGCUCGGGCAAUCUUUGAACGCUGGUCGUGAUGGGGAUAGACUUUUGCAAUUUUUGGUCUUCAACGAGGAAUUCCUAGUAAACGCAAGUCAUCAGCUUGCAUUGAUUACGUCCCUGCCCUUUGUACACACCGCCCGUCGCACCUACCGAUUGAAUGGUCCGGUGAAAUCUCGGGACGGCGGCUUGGUCGCUUGCGUCCGACUGCUGAAACUUGAUUAAACCAUAUCAUUUAGAGGAAGGUGAAGUCGUANCA
rnacentral:rRNA from 1 species